GACGAACGCUGGCGGCGUGCCUAAUACAUGCAAGUCGAGCGAAUUUUUGGGAGCUUGCUCCCAAAGGUUAGCGGCGGACGGGUGAGUAACACGUGGGCAACCUGCCUAUAAGACUGGGAUAACUUCGGGAAACCGGAGCUAAUACCGGAUAAUUCAUAUCUACUCAUGUAGGUAUGCUGAAAGACGGUUUACGCUGUCACUUAUAGAUGGGCCCGCGGCGCAUUAGCUAGUUGGUGAGGUAACGGCUCACAAAGGAAACGAUGCGUAGCCGAACUGAGAGGGUGAUCGGCCACACUGGGACUGAGACACGGCCCAGACUCCUACGGGAGGCAGCAGUAGGGAAUCUUCCGCAAUGGACGAAAGUCUGACGGAGCAACGCCGCGUGAGUGAUGAAGGUUUUCGGAUCGUAAAACUCUGUUGUUAGGGAAGAACAAGUACUAGAGUAACUGCUAGUACCUUGACGGUACCUAACCAGAAAGCCACGGCUAACUACGUGCCAGCAGCCGCCGUAA
rnacentral:rRNA from 1 species